rnacentral:rRNA from 1 species
AGAUUGAACGCUGGCGGCAUGCCUAACACAUGCAAGUCGAACGGGAGUAGCAAUACUCUAGUGGCGGACGGGUGAGGAAUACGUAGGAAUUUGCCCUUAAGUGGGGGAUAACCCGGGGAAACCCGGAUUAAUACCGCAUGACCUCGAAAGAGCAAAGUGGGGGAUCGCAAGACCUCACGCUUUUGGAGAAGCCUACGUCGGAUUAGCUAGUUGGUGAGGUAAUGGCUCACCAAGGCGACGAUCCGUAACUGGUCUGAGAGGAUGAUCAGUCACACCGGAACUGAGACACGGUCCGGACUCCGUACGGGAGGCAGCAGGUAGGGGAAUAGUUAGGACAAUGGGACGCAAGCCUGAC